rnacentral:rRNA from 1 species
UGGGGAAUAUUGGACAAUGGGCGCAAGCCUGAUCCAGCAAUGCCGCGUGUGUGAAGAAGGCCCUAGGGUUGUAAAGCACUUUCAGUUGGGAGGAAGGGUUUAUGGUUAAUACCCAUAAACAUUGACGCUACCAACAGAAGAAGCACCGGCUAACUCUGUGCCAGCAGCCGCGGUAAUACAGAGGGUGCGAGCGUUAAUCGGAAUUACUGGGCGUAAAGAGUGCGUAGGCGGUUAAAUAAGUUAGAUGUGAAAUCCCUAGGCUUAACCUGGGAACUGCGUUUAAUACUGUAUAACUAGAGUCCUGAAGAGGUUAGUGGAAUUUCCAGUGUAGCGGUGAAAUGCGUAGAUAUUGGAAGGAACACCAGUGGCGAAGGCGACUAACUGGUCAGAAACUGACGCU